rnacentral:rRNA from 1 species
UACGUAGGGGGCUAGCGUUGUCCGGAAUCAUUGGGCGUAAAGAGCGUGUAGGCGGUCCGGUAAGUCCGCUGUGAAAGUCGGGGGCUCAACCCUCGAAUGCCGGUGGAAACUGGCGGGCUUGAAUGCGGCAGAGGGGGGUGGAAUUCCGCGUGUAGCAGUGAAAUGCGUAGAGAUGCGGAGGAACACCGAUGGCGAAGGCAGCCCCCUGGGCCGACAUUGACGCUCAGGCACGAAAGCGUGGGGAGCAAACAGGG